GUUUGUAGAUGAUCAUGCUACAGUAUCUAGCGUUGCAUGGGCUUUGAAGAAGCCAUGUACUGUCAUAGUUAUAUAUUGAAUCGUAUUAUUGAAAAAUGACUGUAACCAUAUGAUUUAUCAUGUCAUCUAUGCAAUUGUAGUGGAUUUUCAGGUGUCGUCAACUGGACAAAACAUGAGGACAUUUUUCGAAAGGACUAUCUUUUGAUAGUUGAGAAUGCUCUUGGAAAUCACUGGAGACUCAUGAUUGUGUGCUUCCCUGGAAACGAAGAAGUGGAACACAUCAAAAGGGGGCGAAAACUGGUGCAAAGAAGGAGGCCUUGCAUUUUAAUGCUAGACUCCCAGUCUGAGCAAGUGAGUGACAGCAUGGAUGUGUUCCAAAACAUUCGAAGUU